UACAGAGACUGCAAGCGUUAUUCGGAUUCACUGGGCGUAAAGCGCACGUAGGCGGCUUUGCAAGUCAGAGGUGAAAGCCCGGGGCUCAACCCCGGAAUUGCCUUUGAGACUGCAUCGCUAGAAUUGUGGAGAGGUAAGUGGAAUUCCGAGUGUAGAGGUGAAAUUCGUAGAUAUUCGCAAGAACACCGGUGGCGAAGGCGGCCCACUGGCCCGGUACUGACGCUGAGGUGCGAGAGCGUGGGGAGCAACAGGAUUAGAGUACCCAGU
rnacentral:rRNA from 1 species